UGCUAGUGGAGAUUGGUGGAUCCACAUAUGGAAAAGGAAUCUUCAACAGAAAAAUGAAACGCUGGUCAAAAUCUUCAACUGAUGGACUGUUAGAGGUUAACAGUUUAUUGUCCCAAUCUGUUUAGCAAUUCCUAUUUCCCCGGGAUGAGCUGCUUUCUGUUCUACCAUUCUGUUAGCAAGUCCUAUUCUUAUGGGACUAGUUGUUUUCUGUUCCUCGUCUUUGUUAUUUUGAUUGCUGCAUCUCUUUGUAAAAGGCUAUAUAAGCAUGCUGUUUGUGAUGAAUAAACAAGAGACUCAUCUCUUU